ACCGGAUGGAGAGUCCUGAGAAGGCUUAAUUUGCAGGAAGACAUUCUCAUCAGAUCGCGUCUCCGGCAGCCGAGCGCUGCUGCUGGGGGUCGGACUGGGCUCCACCCAGUACCCCUCCCCCGAGCCCUGCCUGGUGAGGCGAGAAACCGAGAUGGUGGAAGCAGAAACUGGAGCCCCGGCGCCGAGCAGCCGCGAGGGACCGAGGCCUUUGAGGGUUCUGCUGCCUCUUGCCAAGGCAGAAGCCUUCAGAAGGAGGGAGAAGAGAAAGAGAAGCUGAGGUCAGCACCAGGAUCGGCUCAGGAGCUGGGAGCCCAGGCUGGGCCCAGUGCAGCCAGGCCUGUGAGCACAGGGUUCCCAUGAUCUGAAUUACGAGGAUUUUCCAACAACCUCCCCAACUCUGCUGUUUGACUUGUGGAAGGAGAAAAGCAACCAGUCUGAAGAAAGUGCUGAAGAGAUAUUUAGAGCUGCAAAAAGGUCAAAGAGACAAGGAAAGCGAAAAAUCAGAGAGGAAAAAGAAAAGAAAUGCAAGAAGGGGAUUCACAUGCAUGGAGCACAUGGGGUGGGCUUGAGAGGAUGAUCUCAGCCAUCUUCACAACCCUUCCAGGAGUUUUAGCAUUUCACAGAUGAGGAACUCCCACUCAGAGGGGCUACAUGGUGUUCCCAGCUGGUGAAGGUCUAGAACACAGGGCUGUCUGAUUUCAGCAGGGUGGGUUCCCUGGGAAAUGCAGAGCUUUCACUCCUGGCUUGAUCCCUGUGAGUUCAAGUAGCCUGGGAUGCUCCGAGGGCCGGUGGUGCUUGUGGCCGGAGGGCAGCCAAUUGCCCCGGACCCACUGGGCCUGGGCCAGCCUGGGCCUGCUGUCCAAGGCUGGGCUUACAGCUGGGCUGUCCACUGGGAGGAUUGAUGACUAUGCUCUCCGGGAAUUGAUAAGUCAGAACCCAAUUAAAGGCUUUUCAACUCAGGCCAGAGUUCUCAGCCACAGAGAAGGUGCCCUUUGCGUUGGGGCCAGCAGCUCAUUCUCUGGAUGGAAGCCUCCAGUCCAAGCAGGAUUCAACACCCUCCUUUGCCCCAUCCACAGCUCCUGUCUGCUGAGAGUGGUCAAGGCCACUCCCCCAACCCCCCUACAGUCCUGCAGUUCCCCUCCUCCCUGGGUGGCCUACCCUCUGUAGGGGGUGCCAGCUGCCUAGGCAGAGAAGUGGAACAGUGCUCUGCAAGACGCACCCCAACCACACCCAGCUGUGAGUGCCUGAGGAGUCACCCAUUGACCUACCCCUGUGUGACACGCAUGUGUGGGCGCUCCCAGUGGUCAUGUGACAUCAGGAGAGUCAAGGAGAGGAGGCACAGGAAGCAGCGGAUACUAAGGCAAAAUAUGAACAUUCAGUGACAAACAAGAAAUAAAAGGCCCCCGCUACUCCAGGGGUCAGAGUUCCACGUGUGACCAGUAGUCACAGGUGCCACUUGCAAGAGCAGGGCAAAGCCCUCAGGGAGUUGAACGGAGGCCCAGACUGAUGAUGACAUUUUAAUAAUCAAUCAUUAUUAAUCAUUCUAAUUAUUAAACAAAAUAUAUUAAUAUUUGGUUAACUAUUAAAGUACUAGUGAAAACA